rnacentral:tRNA from 1 species
GUAGCUCAGUGGUAGAGUGCUUGCCUUGCAUGCAUGAGACCCUGGGUUCGAUUCCUCAGC